rnacentral:rRNA from 1 species
GGAAUAUUGGUCAAUGGCCGAGAGGCUGAACCAGCCAUGCCGCGUGCGGGAGGACGGCCCUAUGGGUUGUAAACCGCUUUUUUGUGGGAGCAAUAAGGGUCACGUGUGACCUGAUGAGAGUACCAUGAGAAUAAGCAUCGGCUAACUCCGUGCCAGCAGCCGCGGUAAUACGGAGGAUGCGAGCGUUAUCCGGAUUUAUUGGGUUUAAAGGGUGCGUAGGCGGAAGGUUAAGCGUGAGGUGAAAUGCUGCUGCUCAACAGCAGAACUGCCUCGCGAACUGGUCUUCUGGAAUGCCCCUGCCGUGGGAGGAAUGUGUGGUGUAGCGGUGAAAUGCAUAGAGAUCACACAGAACACCGAUUGCGAAGGCAUCUCACGAAGGGGUGAUUGACGCUGAGGCACGAAAGCGUGGGGAUCAAACA